GACGCAGCAAGGGAGGGAGCAGGAGAGACAGGACGGAGGGGUCUGGGAUGGGGGCUGGGCAGUGCAGUCCCUGGCAGGCCUCACCCAGCUGCCCAGCCCCUUACCUUCUUCUUCUCACUAGAGGAGGGCUCGCUCCCUGAGCAGCGGCCUGACUCCACCCCGCCGGCCCCCUUCACCCGGGUGGAGGAUUUGGCCAGGCUGCUCUCUACCAGUUCAUCAUCGAAUUUCUUCCUUUUGAUGAACCUGUGGAAGGUCCUGCAGGGUUAACUACUGGUACCACACCCACGCACGGCUUCCAAGAGAUGGAACCCCUCACUCUCCAUCCUCGGUGCCAUCCGGACACACCGGCAGAGGAGGUUUUUGGCCGCUUGACCCAAGGUAGAGUUAUUUGGGGAGAAGCUCAACUGAGAAAGUGCCUCCAUCAGAGUGGCCUUGGGCAGUUUCUGCCUCCAGGUUCCUGCUUUGAGUUCCUGCCCGACUUCCCCUGAGGAUGGACCUGCGAUCCAAAUAAAU
rnacentral:lncRNA from 1 species